UACGGAGGAUGCAAGCGUUAUCCGGAUUCAUUGGGUUUAAAGGGUGCGCAGGCGGAUUAUUAAGUCAGGGGUGAAAUCCCACGGCUCAACCGUGGAACUGCCUUUGAUACUGAUAGUCUAGAGUAUAGUUGAAGUUGGCGGAAUGUGUCAUGUAGCGGUGAAAUGCUUAGAUAUGACACAGAACACCGAUCGCGAAGGCAGCUAGCUAAGCUAUAACUGACGCUCAUGCACGAAAGCGUGGGGAUCAAACAGGAUUAGAUACCCUGGUAGUCCACGCUGUAAACGAUGAUUACUCGAUGUUGGCGAUACACAGUCAGCGUCUGAGCGAAAGCAAUAAGUAAUCCACCUGGGGAGUACGAUCGCAAGAUUGAA
rnacentral:rRNA from 1 species